GUGAAACUUGUUUAAAAUUGUAUGCUCUAUUUUAGUUAUGAAAGAAAAAACAUUUGUGUUUCAUGUCCCUUUAAAUCCAUUUAACCAAAAACCUAAUUGUAUUCUUUAUUAGAACUAACAGGUCACAGUGAUGAAAAUCUAGACACAGGAUCACAUGGAGACCUUGUACAUAAUAUUCAGCCAUCAGAUGUCUAUACAGAUGAUAUUAAUACUGACGUAGAUGUUAAAACAGGAGAUCUGAGUGUAACGUGUCAGCUGGAAGCUCCAAUGCAAGAAAUGUGUUACAGUAACAAUGAAGGUAAAUGCAUGUGUGUGACGUGUCUUCUGUUUAUGGGAUAUUGCCUGGUUUUUAUAGCUUAUUGUCUAUAACUACUGUACAUUAUAUCACCAAUCAGGAUACACCGAUAUCACUUUAUAGGAGCAUAAAAUAAAUCUCACAGCGCUA